rnacentral:misc_RNA from 1 species
GAUGAAGAACGUAGCGAAAAGCGAUAAGUAAUGUGAAUUGCAGAAUUCAGUGAAUCAUCGAAUCUUUGAACGCACAUUGCGCCCCCUGGUAUUCCGGGGGGCAUGCCUGUUCGAGCGUCAUUUCAACCCUCAAGCUCUGCUUGGUAUUGAGUCCAUGUCAGCAAUGGCAGGCUCCAAAAUCAGUGGCGGCGCCGCUGGGUCCUGAACGUAGUAAUAUCUCUCGUUACAGGUGCUCGGCGUGCUUCUGCCAAAACCCCAAUUUUUCUAUGGUUGACCUCGGAUCAGGUAGGGAUACCCGCUGAACUUAAGCAUAUCAAUAAGCGGAGGA